rnacentral:rRNA from 1 species
UUCCUACGGGUGGCAGCAGUAGGGAAUAUUGCACAAUGGGCGAAAGCCUGAUGCAGCAACGCCGCGUGCGCGAUGACGGCCUUCGGGUUGUAAAGCGCUUUUCGGGGAGAUGAGGAAGGACAGUAUCCCCGGAAUAAGGCUCGGCUAACUACGUGCCAGCAGCCGCGGUAACACGUAGGAGCCAAGCGUUAUCCGAAUUCACUGGGCGUAAAGCGCGUGUAGGCGGCUUAUUAAGUUGGAUGUGAAAGCUCCCGGCGCAACUGGGAGAGGACGUUGAAGACUGGUAGGCUAGAGGGCGACAGAGGGAGGUGGAAUUCCCGGUGUAGUGGUGAAAUGCGUAGAUAUCGGGAGGAACACCAGUGGCGAAGGCGGCCUCCUGGGUCGCACCUGACGCUCAGACGCGAAAGCUAGGGGAGCGAACGGGAUUAGAUACCCCUGUAGUCGC